rnacentral:rRNA from 1 species
UACGUAGGGUGCGAGCGUUAAUCGGAAUUACUGGGCGUAAAGCGUGCGUAGGCGGCUAUGUAAGACAGAUGUGAAAUCCCUGGGCUUAACCUAGGAACUGCAUUUGUGACUGCAUUGCUAGAGUGUGGUAGAGGGAGAUGGAAUUCCGCGCGUAGCAGUGAAAUGCGUAGAUAUGCGGAGGAACACCAAUGGCGAAGGCAAUCUCCUGGACCUGCACUGACGCUCAUGCACGAAAGCGUGGGGAGCAAACAGG